rnacentral:rRNA from 1 species
AUUGAACGCUGGCGGAAUGCUUUACACAUGCAAGUCGAACGGCAGCACGGGGGCAACCCUGGUGGCGAGUGGCGAACGGGUGAGUAAUACAUCGGAACGUGCCCAAUCGUGGGGGAUAACGUAGCGAAAGCUACGCUAAUACCGCAUACGAUCUACGGAUGAAAUCGGGGGAUCGCAAGACCUCGCGCGAAUGGAGCGGCCGAUGGCAGAUUAGGUAGUUGGCGGGGUAAAGGCUCACCAAGCCAACGAUCUGUAGCUGGUCUGAGAGGACGACCAGCCACACUGGGACUGAGACACGGCCCAGACUCCUACGGGAGGCAGCAGUGGGGAAUUUUGGACAAUGGGGGCAAGCCUGAUCCAGCCAUUCCGCGUGCAGGAUGAAGGCCUUCGGGUUGUAAACUGCUUUUGUGCGGAACGAAACGGCCCUUUCUAAUACAGAGGGCUAAUGACGGUACCGUAAGAAUAAGCUCCGGCUAACUACGUGCCAGCCGCCGCAGUAAUAC